UUAAUUUUCAUGCAGUUUCAAGAUAUAAAUUCAUAAUUUGUUUAUUGACACAAAUGAGUGCAAAGAGAAUGUAUGCGGCAAUGAAACCGAGGCUGUUCAAUGUGAAAACCUAAAUGGGGGAUACAAUUGCACCUGUCAAGAUGGAUUUUAUUUCUCGAACGACAUUUACGGAAAAGGAUGUGAAGGGGAAGUUGCUACAUUGUACAUGUGGGGUUCACUCUACAACACAACAACUGUAAAUAACUCCACAGAUAUAAUCCAAACUGAAACCAGAGACUGCCAAAAUACAAUUGGAACAUCUGUUGACCCGUCACAUUGCUCCGGAGCCCAAAACAGUCGUAAUGUGUUACGACUUAAACGCAUUUACACCGAAAUGUACUGGUAUGAUGCUAAAAUGCACUGUGAAGAAAUCGGCGGGGCGAUGUUUGGAAAUUAUGAUGGAACAAAUGAUCAAGUUGAGAUGCUUUUUGAGAAUACUUCAUGGACUUCAAUCUGGCUGGGUAUAUCAGGUGAGAGUGGACAAGUAGGAUGGAAAACAGAGCAGGGCAAGGAGAUGACGCAAUUUCUGCAACCCAAUUGGGAUAAUGGCUACCCAAGUUCAAACAUGAAUUAUCACAGGAUUGUUCGGUUAGGAAGAGAUAAUUUGAUUAAAGAUGGCAGUGGAAGCAAUACUGUGCGAAACUUUAUUUGUGAUUUGACAGAAAAGCCCACUGGCUUAUUGUAGCCUUCUCACUAAUCAUAGAUCUUGGAAGUUUCUUGCGUUAAACUUAUAGCAGUAGAUAAAUUUUCAUUUUAGAGUGACUUCAAAUUUCCAUCUAGUACUACUGAUAGAGUGACAAAUAAAUCAGUUUUAAUUUCUUAGUGUGUUAUAAAUAAUAAUUUACCAAAAAGCUUAUGACAUUUAUAGCAGUAUAUAUUGAUCUUUUU